rnacentral:tRNA from 1 species
UUAAUUGAAACCAAAAAGAGGUAAAUUAUUGUUAAUAAUUUAAUUGAUUAUUAUAUCCAAUUAAU